UGUUCUUCUUUAUUUCUCUUGUGAAGAUUUGAUUAAUCCUAGAGGCAAAUAAGGGGUGUGGAGGCGGGACAGGUAGGGGCUAAAGACAAUACCAUCCUGUGUUGGGUUAAACAAUAAUCAGGGCCAGGGAAGCUUGCAGUGAGACCAGAAGAUCUCUAAAAAUGUGAAGAGGGAGCUGGCAACUUUCCUUAUCUCCAGUCUUUAGGAGAGGAUACAAACAGAGUGACCUGAUGGCAAGGUAAAGGAAUGUCCUCAUAAAGCAUCUAAGGGAAUCCUCCUGCACGGAUUUAGUGGGCAUGCAGUCUACCCUAUACUGUGCCCCUGCUUGUACGUGUGGGGCACCCCUCCAUGGCAUCUCAGCCUGCUGCCACCAAAGACUCUCUCAUUCACUGAGUAAACAUGAGGGGACACACUAUGAACAAGACAGACAAGGACCCAUACCUCUGUGGACCUUUCAAGGUGAAGAAGGAAAUAGGAAGAUUCUUCAGGAGAUGAGAAUCUCACGGGUAAGAGAAGGACUAGAAAGUGUGGAACAUCAGAGACACUCAUUUUUUUGAGAGUGGCUCAUGAUUUGUGCCCAGCCAGACUGCAGCAUUUGGUGGCCCGUGGGGGGAAUGCCUGAAGCUCAGAGGGAGAACAGCAGCCGAUUUGGAUUCCAGAGAGAUUAACCAAAGUGAUUUCUACAGACCAAAAAGAAGGUGAUAUUGCUCAAAUCCAUAACAGCUGAUAUCCAGAGCUCCAGCUUGGCUAUUCUUACAUCUGUGACAGUGACUCUCCCACACCUGGAGGCUAAUGAAUAAUGAUCACCAUUAAGUCCUAUUUCAAAUGUAAAAAACCUUGAGGCUUGCUUGUGGGAAUACCUUCAGACCUAUAUGCAAGUUACAGGAAGAAGGAUGGGAUAUCAAAAAAAGAGUCAAACCCAGGUGGUAACCAGGAUGCUUUUUUCAAUAUCUAUUUUAUUAUUGCCUUUUCCCACAUCAUAAAGUUCUAUUUUAUUUUUUGAGCUCAUACAGACCUAGGUUAAUGUUUUGCUGAUCAGUUCUAUUUUUUGACUGUGGAGUUUUUAAACAUUGCAAUGGAGAUUUCACCUGUGUAAAGCUACAAAGCCUUUACUAUUGUCUCAUGUGUUGUAUGUUCUGUGUGCACACUUCUGUUUUGUGUUGUAUGUCUGUAUGUGCGUAUGUCAUAUAUCAUAUAUGAGGAGUGCUCAUGAAAAAAUGGAUCCAAAUAUUUUUUUUUAUUCACGUGAUAUAAAUGGUUUAAUUUAAAUUAGGUAAACAGCUGUUGAGGAUUGUUUUUAAAGGUAGUUAACAGAUCUGUUUGUUUACUUUCAUCUUUCCUUUUCAUUAUAUCUAAUAAUUCUGUUCAGGAUGAUGUAAAUUGUUCAGAAAAUUGUUUUCUUAGUGCCUGCUGGAAUGUUACAUAAUUUCUUUUUAGCCAUCAUUGCCAGAAUUCCUAUCUUAAUCCCAGUGCCAGUGAAGACAAAGAUAAAACCAAACUACAGCUUCUUCGAUAGCUGUCACAGUAAACUGUAGAAACUGAUGCAUCAAUGAAUAAUAACUCAACAAGUGAUGCUCAAUCAAGGAGUCUAUUUGGGAGGAAAUGGACACAUUGCUGGAUUCCUCUGCUUUGAACUGCUUGCAGAACUUGCCUGGACUAUGUAUCACUUGUAUGCAUUGUGAACUAUCUGUUGGUGCAGCGAAUUGUGGUAGUGCUGGGGUAUCUUUGCUGAUGGUGUCAUCAGUGGUACAAUUUUUCCAAAAAGAGCCGUCAUUUGGCUUGGUGUCGUGGCAUUUUGUAUCCCCCCCCCCCCACUGGCACCAAGGCCAAAUUUGGGGGCCAACAGAGGUGAAGCAAAGAACCUCACCCCCCCACUGGUAUUUGGGGGCCAAUAGAGAUGAGGCAAAGAACCUCACCCCCCCACUGGCACCAAGGCCAAAUUUGGGGGCCAACAGAGUUGAGGCAAAGAACCUCACCCCCCCCACUGGCACCAAGGCCAAAUUUGGGGGCCAACAGAGAUGAGGCAAAGAACCUCACCCCCCACUGGCACCAAGGCCAAAUUUGGGGGCCAAUAGAGGUGAGGCAAAGAACCUCACCCCCCCACUGGUGCAAAGGCCUAUCCACAAGUAUGGCUGUAUGCUGGACCGGUAGUCAAUGACGGGUAAGAUCCAAUUGCAAUGGUACCAACCUAAGAUAGGAGGCUGACGCCUUGAGGUCAGCUCAUCCGAUAACGGGUAAGGACCAUAUGUAGUAUUGGACAACCUAAAACAGGCACGGUCCCUAAGCCACUUGCUUGGUGUUUAAUUAAACAGAAUGGGGGAGAUGCUGAGAGCCACAGCCGAGUCGGAAUGGCCCCUUGCAUUUUACCAGAAGUAUGGUUGAGAGGCGAGCCAUUAAGGUGAUGUUGGAUUGAAACAGGUUGUAUAAAAUUCAAUUGUAUAUUAGACCUUUACUGUCCGGUAAUAGGAUGGCUCUUGCUGCCUCAGGCGCCCACUACUUUGGAGUUCCUGUUGAGUUCUCAUGGGGUUCCGAGAGUGAGUGCGCGCGUAGCCUGGGGGAGUGAGUUCCAGUUGGUGUGUGGUGUGUUCCUGGAGGAGCCGCGUGGGUGGCAUUUGGGAGAGUUCCCGGGGAGUGUGCAUGGAAUGCUGUGGGAGUUCGGAAUAAAGUUUGUUUCUGCUUGA